rnacentral:lncRNA from 10 species
GUUUGAAGGGAAGCAGCUUGGUGCAGAACCAGGAGAGCCAGCCGCCUCAGUUAGAGCCUCGGAAUGAAGAUUCAGAGCACUCUGGACCCACUGAGAGACUUGCUCAUUUUCUGGGCACCAAAUAAUCCUCCCAAUUUUUAGAUAAACUAGAAGAUUUGGUGCCCAGCAUGAAGAAUAGUUCCUUUCAAGUACCUGUAUGUCCUGAAUGUAUUCCUUCCAGUGGGUUCUUGGUCUCGCUGACUUCAAGAAUGAAGCCUUGGACCCUCGUGAUAUGUGCUCACCCUUCUCUGCUCAGCUCUGUGCCUGGGAGGCUGACCUCUACAAACUGCAUCACCAGGCUUCCGCCCUCUGGCUUCCAGAUGGAUUUGGCCAAUGGGCAGCACCAGUGGGAAAGGAGAGGACAGGAGGAGAGACAGGCUGAGGCCUCCCUCCUCCUGUGUCCCUGACAUACAGUGACAGUGCUGCCCUGCAGCUCAGGAUGGAUGCAGUCAAGGACGACAGCGCAUGUCCAAAAAAGCUGUCUGCUGAACAUUUGCCCAGCAGAUUUUAGAAAGAAAGGAAACAUCUUAGUGAUUUUCUUGCCUCCAGAAGAUUCCCUGAUCCAAUCUUUCCUUGGCACAAACUUUUAGUUAUUGUGUUUACAUAUACAUUUUAUAUAUGUGUGGUCAUUAUUGUAUCUGUUUUAUUUGGGGACUUUAUCUUGAUGUGUGUUAUACCUAAUACACUGCAAUAUAAAUUAUGUAAUUAUGUGCUUUUUUUUUUUGAGAUGGAGUCUCGUUCUGUCACCCAUGCUGGAGUGCAGUGGUGUGAUCUCGGCUCACUGCAACCUCCACCUUCUGGGUUCAAGUGAUUCUGCUGCUUCUGCGUCUCAAGUAGCUGGGACUACAGGCGCCUGCCACCACACUCAGCUAAUUUUUUUUUUUUUUUUUUAAGUAGAGGUGGGGCUUCACCAUGUUGGCCAGGCUGCUUUCGAACUCCUGACGUCAGGUGAUCCACCCACCUCAGCCUCACAAAGUCCUGGAUUACAGGCAUGAGCCACCACACCCGCCCUGUGCUUUCAAUAAGUACUUUCUCACUGCUUACUGACUGAUACCCCUAGCUUUUGUAUCAUGAGGAAAAAGAGGCAUAAGAGAAUGAAUCCCUGGCCCCAGUAUCAGUCAGGAUUUAAUCAGAAAACAGAAGUCAUGCUAGGUUUUUGAUGAGUUGGAGAGAGUUGAAAGAGGAAUUAAGGCUUGCACAACCAUUAGAAGGGCUGGGUAAGGAAAGGUCAGACGGUUGCUCUUAGGGCAUCUGAAAUGCAGAGAUCUCAAGAGAAAUUGGGGCUUCUGUUGUGAUCAAGUUGCCCAUAGCAGGUGCUUCUCAGCAGGACCCUGAGAAGCUGAGGCUCUGAGUAACCGCCUGUAGCUGGCACUAAAGAAAAAUGGCUUCUCCUUUUCUGCCUCAGAUGUUUCACGGGGGUGCCUCUCACUGGACAAAUGUAACCUCGAGGCACAUAGGAAAAGAACUGGGUAGUGAGGUUUCUGGUUUUCCUCCAAGAUGGAGAAGAGUGGAGGGCUGGGGAGCAUGAGUCACAAUGAAGUUGAACUAUCAACAGACCACCCAGAAACAAAACCUCCCAUAUAUUAAUGAAAAAUAAAAAAAGCAAACAGCAAUUGAUAAACAAAUGUAUUUAAGUUAUACCAAGGGCAAGAUUGCUCUGUCAAAAAGCAUUUGAUAAUCAGUUAAUUGGUGAGUGUCUGCUAUGCAGAAUUAGAGGCAGUUAUUUUUUUGUUUGUUUGUUUUUGUUUUAGAUUAUUUCUUGCUCAAAACUCACUCAGGUUCCUGGGCUAUAAUACUUGAGCCAGACAGAGCAGCUUUGAUCUCACUGGCAGUUUGUUUAGAAGCCUGAGAUCUGGAGUGGCUUUCUAAAAUCUUCAGCUCUAAAAACCAAUACAGUUUAGUAAAAAUCUAUACAUUUGCUUGCAAUAGUCUCAAGUACAUAGUAAAAUGACAGAAAUGAUUUCAACCAAGAAAUUAGCCAUUUUCUUCCUCUUGAUUUAAGAAGGGAGAAAUAGCUUUGGAGGGAAGUGGCAAUAUUUCUAAAUUUACACACAAAUUCACACCGACAGUAUGCUCCUAAUGGUUGCCACAUUUAGAGCUAACCUGGUUUUCUGAGAUUGAUCUGGGAUGGAAGGAGAAAGAACAGCUAACUGACCGGAAGCUAAACGCCACAAGGCAAAGCCUCUUUGUUAGAAGCUGAAGAUUAUCAUAUUUCUAGGGGAGGCUGGAUGCUUUGGUUAAGAGAGACCUAGUUAUGAAUCCAGCCUUCUAAAGACCUCCAGGGAGAACUCUGCAAGUCUCCUCAGGGCAGGGGUUCUGGGAGUUUCUAGGUUCUUGCAAUUCCUGCAAGCAAACACAUCAACACACAAAAAAGCACUGGGAAUUCAGAGUCCCAGAGAAGGACAUUUGGGUACAUCCCUCAAGGUUAAAAUUUGCUGGAAACUUUGAUAAGAUAUUUGGAUGUGGAGAAGACUGGGGAAGUGUUAAGUAAAGGAAUAUGAAGUUGGGAGUCAAUUAUUCAUUAUUUUCCCUAUUCCUCUCACCCAUUAGCAUCAAUAAUUGAAAAAGAACCAUCCAUGUGUGUAUGGGGAAGGCAGUAGGCUUAGAGGCUGCUAAUAACAAUUUAGUAAAUGAGGCCAAAAAUGGGGCUCUGCAGGCAACAAGCUUGACUGGGUAGAGCCAGGCCACCUCAAAGCUGAGGCUUUAACCACCAUGGCCUGCCAUCUGCAGCACAUGACUCACUGCAUCUUUAAGCAAGACUUUGCCCAAAUAAGUACCUUCCACUUUGGUUCUAUAUUGCUGCCACCAGUGUAACUACUCUGCUGCCUUUCCUAGGGGUGGGGACAAGCUACCUCCUUGAGUUUGAGGCUUGAGCCUACCUUUGUACCUGUGGUCCUUAAGAGGUGCUGUCCUUCUCAUUUAGCUCAUACAAAGUGACUCGGGCAUCCUGCAGCAUCCCUGUACAGGUAUCAGCCCAGUCCACACUGCUAAUUGCACCCAUUUUCUUCAAAGUCCAUCUGUUUACUUAAGCAUGUUGGUGCUCAUGCUCAAUGUGCAAGGUAAUAUAGAUUGAUAUGGAUUCUUUGGGAUUUUUAGUUAAGUGGUUUCUGCUUGUGACAUUCUUUCCUUUUUUCUUUCUUUCUUUCUUUUUUUUGAGACGGAGUCUCUGUCGCCAGGCUGGAGUGCAGUGGCAUGAUCUCAGCUAGGCUCACUGCAACCUCCGUCUCCCGGGUUCAAGCAAUUCUCCUGCCUCAGCCUCCCAUGUAGCUGGGAUUACAGGCGCAUGCCACCAUGCCCAGCUAGUUUUUUUGUAUUUUUUUUUUAGUAGAGACGGGGUUUCACCAUAUUGGUCAGGCUGGUCUUGAACUCCUGACCUUGUGAUCUGCCCGCCUCGGCCUCCCAAAGUGCUGGGAUUACAGGCAUGAGCCACCACGCCUGACCUGCUUGUGACAUUAUUUUCUGCCUUUUAAAUACAAAUAGAAGUAUACAAAAGCAUAUACCUCAGUGCUUCAGGGAGAAAAGUGUGUUAGAUAAAUAGACUACCUGUAAGGAAGACUUAGUAUAAUGACAAGCAUGACUGCUUGGUAUAUUCAGAAUUUUGAUGUGUGACAAAUAAUGUGUGUCAUUCUUUGAAAUAUAAAUGUUAGAGCUUCUUAUGUUAAAAGAAGCCAUCCUAACCAAAUAAUACUCUAGGCUUUCAGUGUACCUAUAAACAUGUUCAUCUGGUGGGAAUUAAGAGAUAUGCCAAAAAACAGAUUUGAAUUUGAGCAAAAGAAUAGCAAUACAUUAACUGCUAUAUUAUAGAGUUUGUAAAGAUUGCUAUAGUGAUUAUCAGUGCUUCACGGUGUCAUUAUUGGCUUCACUAUUAAAGAUAUUGCUGUGAAAAUGAAAAUU